GAAAAUGGAGCGUGAGGAGCUGCGGAGGCAAUUGGAGCAGGAGAGGAGAGAGCGUGAGGAGGAAAAAAAAGAGCGAGAGGAAGAACAGAAGCAAAUUGCACAUCUUACAAGUUUGGUAACAGAGUUCUUAAAGAGAAAGACUCAAAUGCACAAGUCAUCUAUCCAUCAUGAUGGGGCCAUGUAUUCAACUAGUGGUACAAAUACUCGUUGAUACAUGGUGGAGUUAUGAGCAUGUGAAAUCUAGUUUCUGGUACAUGGAUAGCUUUUGUUCAGAUGAUCAUGGUGGAGUUGUCUACAAGCAAAUCCAGUUUUUGGUAUAAGAAUAUUUUUGUCUACAUGAUGGUUGUUUGGAUGAAUAGCAAGAUCAGAUAUUUUGAAAUUUUUAAUUUACAUUUUGAUGUGUUUGGUGAUGAUUAUCACCUUAACAUAUGGUAUGGAUGAAACAUUUUGAUGUAUGGUUAAUAAGUAUGCUUGACUUUAGACUUAUAGAUGAUAAUAUUUAUAAUGAAUGAUUAUGGAUUCUCCAACAUUGUGUA